rnacentral:rRNA from 1 species
AUUGAACGCUGGCGGCAUGCCUUACACAUGCAAGUCGAACGGCAGCACGUGUGCUUGCACCUGGUUUCGAGUGGCUCACGGGUGAGUAAUACAUCGGAACAUGUCCUGUAGUGGGGGAUAGCUCGGCGAAAGCCGGAUUAAUACCGCAUACGUUCUAAGGAGGAAAGCGGGGGACGUCAGGGCCUCGCGCUAUAGGGUUGGAGGAUGGCUGAUUAGCUAGUUGGUGGGGUAAAGGCCUACCAAGGCGAAGAUCAGUAGCUGGUGUGAGAGGACGACCAGCGACAACAGGACUGAGACACGGCCCAGACUCAUACUGGAGGCAGCAGUGGCGAAUUUUGGACAAUGGGCGAAAGCCUGAUCCAGCAAUGCCGCGUGUGUGAAGAAGGCCUUCGGGUUGUAAAGCACUUUUGUCCGGAAAGAAAUCCUUGGCCCUAAUACGGUCGGGGGAUGACGGUACCGGAAGAAUAAGCACCGGCUAACUACGUG